rnacentral:lncRNA from 1 species
UUAACUUUAUUGUUAUGAAAUCAAAACAACAUUCGAACUGAGACUCUUGAAUUCACCAAAACAUCGUUCAAACUUCCCUAUAAAGCUACUUUCUUGUAUAGAAAGAACAGAGCAAAGAACUUUACUUUAUUGUUUUGAAAUCAAACUGAGACUCUUGAAUUCACCAAAACAUCGUUGAAACUUUCCUAUAAAGCUAAUUCUUGAGUGGAACAGAGCAAAGAUGUUUACUUUAUUGUUUUGAAAUCAAAACAACAUUCGAACUAGACUCUUACAAUUCACCAAAACAUCGUUCAAACUUCCCUAUAAAGCUACUUUAUUGUGUAGAACAGAGCAAAGAUGUUUACUUUAUUGUUUUGAAAUCAAACAACAUUCGAACUGAGACUCUUGAAUUAACCAAAACAGGGUUGAAACUAACUACCCUUCAAAGCUACUUUCUUGUGUAGGUAGAACAGAGCAUAGAACUUUACUUUAUCAUUUUGAAAUCAAACAACAUUGAACAUGGUUGAAACUUGCCUAUAAAGCUACUUUCUUUUGUAGAACAGAGCAAAGAUCUUUUAUUGUUUUCAAAUCAAACAAAGAGACUCUUCGAUUAACCAAAAC